rnacentral:rRNA from 1 species
AUGCAAGUCGAGCGGGCUUAUUCGGGCAACUGGAUAAGUUAGCGGCGAACUGGUGAGUAACACGUAGGUAAUCUGCCGUAGAGUGGGGGAUAACCCAUGGAAACAUGGACUAAUACCGCAUAUACUCUUGACACAUAAGUGUAGUAGAGGAAAGGAGUAAUCCGCUUUACGAUGAGCCUGCGGCCUAUUAGCCUGUUGGUGAGAUAAAAGCCCACCAAAGCUACGAUAGGUAGCCGACCUGAGAGGGUGACCGGCCACAUUGGGACUGAGAUACGGCCCAGACUCCUACGGGAGGCAGCAGCUGAGAAUCUUCCACAAUGGACGAAAGUCUGAUGGAGCGACAUCGCGUGAGGGAUGAAGGCCUUCGGGUUGUAAACCUUGGAAAUUAUCGAAGAAUGAGUGACAGUAGAUAAUGUAAGCCUCGGCUAACUACGUGCCAGCAGCCGCGGUAAUACGUAGGAGGCAAACGUUGCUCGGAUUUACUGGGCGUAAAGGGUGAGUAGGCGGAACUAUAAGUCUAAGGUGAAAUAUCGAAGCUCAACUUCGGAGACGCCUCGGAUACUGUGGUUCUUGGAUAUUGUAGGGGAUGAUGGAAUUCUCGGUGUAGCGGUGGAAUGUAUAGAUAUCGAGAAGAACACCUAUAGCGAAGGCAGUCAUCUGGGCAUUUAUCGACGCUGAAUCACGAAAGCUGGGGGAGCAAACAGGCUUAGAUACCCUGGUAGUCCCAGCCGUAAACGUUGCACACUAGGUGCUCCUAUUAAAAUAGGCGUGCCGUAGCUAACGUCUUAAGUGUGCCGCCUGAGGAGUAUGCCCGCAAGGGUGAAACUCAAAGAAAUUGACGGGUCCCCGCACAAGUGGUGGAGCAUGUGGUUUAAUUCGAUGAUACGCGAAAAACCUUACCUGGGUUUGAAUUGU